rnacentral:SRP_RNA from 1 species
GCCGAGCCAAGUAGCGAUGGCUUGUCACCCUAGCGGGGGCAUUCAAGGUGGUGCGGAUGCCAUAUUUGUGGCUCUUUGGGCCCCUGGACCCUGUGAUUCUUUUUGCGGCCCUGCCUUCCUAGGUUUUGAGUAGUGGCCUCAUAUGUCGCAAAUACCUUUUUG